CCAUUACCUGCUGGGAGAGGUGGUGCAAAGGCAGCUUCUACUUCCCCCACGGCUGUGAAGAGGAAUCUGUCUCUCAGUCCUUUGGGAAGUACAGGUAGUGGCUCACGGCCCUCAUGCAAGGCCUCUUGUGCCUCCAUCCCCCUCCUGUCAGCACUGGCCAAGUAAAGGAGGAACCUGCUUGCCCUGUCCCACAGUGGCACCUCCUAGCAACCUCCCAGAGCCAAAGGUAGGACAUGGAGGUCUCAUUUAUGCCCCCGGUGCUCCUACGCUGGCUGCUGGAGCUGGGCAGGACCCUCCAGACUCAGCAGCAUCCUGGAAAUUACUUGUUCUGGGCCCCCAGGGAGCUUGGGAUGUAUCCGUGGCUCUGGGCUGGAAAAUAACUGUCUUUUUGUCAGGGCUCCGGGACCUGCAGGCAAGCUCCCGCCUUGGCAUGAGUGCCCCAGGCCAUUUCUGGAGGCUGAUGCCAGGGCCUCAGCCAGAGCAUGCCAGGGCCCUUGGGUGGGACACAUGCAGAGGAAGAGCAUGGGAGGAGGGACAUGUGCAGUCGGCCACUACACCCUUUGGGAGAGCCUUAUCCAGAACAGCAGAAGGACUCAGCACUUCAUGACCUUGCCCACCUCUUCCAUGCUUCAUCACCCCAGGUCACCAGCAUGGCCCAGCAUAAACACUGCAGGCACACCAGGAUAGGGAAGCCUUCUGCAUUAUUUUCAUGGAGUCCAUGGAGUAAAAGCUGUCCUACCACAUGAUGGUGCUCCCCAUCUGUAGGCAUGCAUGGUGCCAUCGAGGCUGCAUCCAGGUACAAGCCCUUUCCUGGGGCAUCCCGCAGGCACGGUGGGUGCCCAGCAGCAGUGCCAUGCUGACACUGGUUUUGUCUCUCUUGCAGUGACAGGCACUCCAUGCGGGGUUGUUCUGCUCCUGACACUUGAAGCAUAAAGAUGGGGAAAAACUCCUGCCAGAAAUAUCUUCCAUGGGGAUUCCAGCCCUCAGCAGGAUGAUUGUCUUCUGCCUUUCCACUGUCCCCACAAGACAUAAGAAAGGCACAGGAAUGCUGGACCAGCCCCUGGGUGGGGGGCUCUGACCUUGUGCUCUUGAAAAUCUGAUAGAAAAAGGUGGCUCGACUCUUCUCCAGAAAGGCUUUAUUCACAUCUGUGGAUAUUGUACAUAUCUUUGCAAGUCAUGCACAAACUAUUGUAUAAAACUAAUUUGACUGUAAAUAAAUUACAUUUUCAGGCUUUCAUGACCUAGGGAAACGGAUGCUCAUCAGAAGCAAGGGUGGUAGGAGGAAUAAUAGGUAGGGACUAAAAGGGACUUGGCAAUCAUGACACAUCAUCUUACCUGCUGGAAAAGUCAACUGGCUUUAGCUAGGCGGACAGGCCACCUUACUUAACCCAGAAAAGGAAUAUAUAAAUUAUGUGUUCAAUAAAUAGCCAAAUGCCUUGUCUUCUAAUUAGCGAUGUGCAUGAAUGGAUGAACGAGAUUCCCACUGUUCCUACCUACUAUUCAGUGAAACCACACCCAAUGGAACAGGCUUGGUGGAAUCAGCAGGGAAAGAAGACCCUAUUGAGCAUGACUCUAGUUUGGCACUGUGAAGAGACAUAAGAGGUGUAGAAUAAGUGGAAAGCCCUGCAUUCUCCCUUGUGGCUCUCUCCUCAACCUCUGUCUGCAUCAAAAGGGGAUGCCAGGAGAAGAGGAUAGGGGCUACCAUGCAGGGAUGCUCCAUGUCCCAGGAGCUCAACUGGCUGAGAAAGAAGUAAGGUGAUGGGAGUUUGCAGCUCCCAGAGCUUGGCCAGUCACUCUUCUCUGAGCUGGGCCAGCUGGCCCCAGCACCACCAGCCGGGCAGCAUCGUCCCACAACUCCCUAUUGACUCAUUUUCACAAGAGCUCACUAGGUGGGAGUUCCAAACACUCUAGAAGAUUCCCCAUGGCAGGGGAAUACUGGCCUCUGCUUUGCAUGUAUCAGGGGUUGCACAGGAACUCUUGCUGGCCUCCUAGGAUGGAUCAGUGGCCCUCUGGCAUGUUCCAACUUGCUUGUAUUGCCCCCGGCCUGGUUUGGAAUCUCUCUUCCCAGCCUUGUGAACUUCCCCACCCCAGAGAUGUGAGGGCUUGUUAAGGAACCUCGUAAAUCUGGGAGCUCCAAACCUGCCAUUUACUUUUGUUUAAUUACUUUCUAUUCAUAUUUAAACUUCAAUUAUUCUUUUUUUUGCUUGUUUUCAUUAAAGAAUGUUUCCUACAUUUUAUACCAGUACUUUUAUGGAUAUAUAUCCUCCCCCCGCCAGGCUGAAGGCAGUAGCUUCAAGGAAAGGAGUGAAUAGAGGGAAGUCCACAUUCAGGGCGGAAGGCAAACUCCCUCUUUGCCCACAUCACCUUCCCAGAUGCAUCUGUACAACAGGUAUGAGGCUCUCAGUGUGGAAGGC
rnacentral:ncRNA from 1 species